rnacentral:tRNA from 1 species
GGGGAUAUGGCUCAGUGGUAUAGCACUUGUCUGGCAUGUAAAGGCUCUGGGUUCAAUCCCCAGCACCA